GGUAAGAUAGCCAGCAAUAAGCCAAAAGCUGUGCUGAUUGCUGAAUUGAUGGAGGGAGACAGAGCUCGCAGCGCUACACCCCCACCAGCCAUGGAAGAAACUCCCUUCCAAAAGGAAAUGAGGACCAGGAUGGAAUUCCCAUGCAGAGUGGGCCCACAAACUGGACCAAGCCUCCCAGGGGUGGAUACAAGCCAGUCAAGCAACCACCAUGGAGGAGUUACGGCAAUUGCUC